UGCCAGCCGCCGCGGUAAUACGGAGGGUGCAAGCGUUGUUCGGAAUUAUUGGGCGUAAAGCGCGUGUAGGCGGUUCGUUAAGUCUGAUGUGAAAGCCCGGGGCUCAACCCCGGAAGUGCUUGUAAUACUGGUCGUCUAGAGAGAGGCAGAGGUCAGCAGAAUUCCUGGUGUAGAGGUGAAAUUCGUAGAUAUCAGGAGGAAUACCAGUGGCGAAGGCGGCUGGCUGGGCCUAUUCUGACGCUGAGGCGCGAAAGCAUGGGGAGCAAACGGGAUUAGAUA
rnacentral:rRNA from 1 species